GAAUCUCCGAAAACGGUAGUGAUCGUGGACGUGCAAUAUAUUUUCUCUGAAAAUUGUGAUUCUGAAAGGUCUGAUAGGUGUGGAUGUGCAAAUAUUUUUUGAUGAAUACAAGCAGCGCUACAUUGCACGCCGACAAGUGACAUCAACGUCGACGCAUUAGAUUUACAUUAUUAUUAUUUAUAAAAUACAUAUUAUUUUUCUGUCAAAAAAUAUUUUUUUAGUAGUUCAAUAUUACAAUAACAUACCCUGAAAAUUUCAAAAGAAUUGGUUGUAUAAUUUUCUCAAACAAAAUUCCAAAAAAUCAUUCAAUUUUCAGCGCGUUACAUGACUUGCCCCCCUAAAAACACAAUUAGAUUACACAAAACGAAAUAAAUUUUUGAAUUUUCAGACCAAUGACUUUAGAAAAAUUAUUCUACCACAUUGUGUUCCUGUAAUUUCACUUGCAAUGAUGAUAAGUGAAAAUUAACAAUAUAUAUUUUUAUUUCUUUUAUUAUUAUUUUUUAUUAUUUAUUUAAUUUUUUAUUUUUUAUUUUUUAUUUGUUUUAUUAUUUUAAUCUUAUUAAAUUUUUAUCUUUGUUCUUUAGCUAUUUUAUUUUAUUUUCUAUUAAUAAAAUAUCAAUUGCAUAACACCACUAAAAUUAACAACAAAUUGCACUUUUAAAUGUAUAAUUUUAACAUAUUUAUAUCAUUUCUUUAUUUAUAUUAUUUAUUUAAAAUAAAUUUUUUAUUUUAAAUUUUACCUAAUUAAUUUUAUUUUAUUUAUUUUAUUGUUAAAUUAAUUUAAUUUUUUUAUUAAUAAAAUGUAUUGUAUUACACCAUAUGGAUUAAAGUUAUUUUUAUAUUGGAUAAAUGUAGAUUUGAGUACAUUUAGUGGUAUAUUUAUCAAAAACAAAAUAAGUGUGCUAUAAAAGCAGAAUAGAAUUUCGCUAUAAAGUCGCACAAGCGAUGUCUGACAACUGUGUCUAAAAGUACCAAUAAAAGUGCGUUCAGAAUGAUUACAUUUAUCGUAACAUUUAAAGCAUGUUUAGCGAUAUUCUUAUUUAUAAAAAUGAGGUCAGAAUACGAGCUUACGGUUGAGUGCGCAAAAUAUCAGCUCUAUGAUUCAUGAAAAUUUAAUCGCUAACAAUAAUUUCAAAAUUAUUAUAGCCUUGAUGCUUUUGUAUUAGAAAUUUUGUCUUAGAAUAUUUCAAAGAAUCUAUUCUUAAAAAUAAAUAGUAGUGGGAUAUUCAGUAAAGCAUAUUAUAACAUAUUUGAUUUAAUUCAUUAUUAAUUGAAUCGUUACAUUUAAAUGUAUAGACAAAUUUAUUUUAAUGUAAUCAUUGAAAUUUGUACAUACAAUAUAUAAGGUGCAGAGACGAAUAAACGAGAUCAAAAGUGAAGGUAACGGUUUUUUAGUCCAAGUGACCUCGAAACCGUGCCGGCUUCUCCGAGACGCUGAAAUCGAUAUUCGCAUUGCCACAUUUGCUCCAAUACGAUGCAAAUAUCAUACGACUGUUCUCACUUUCUACUACUGAAUCGUCGAGAAACAUAACGUCACAUGAUGCUAAUGACUGUAAAGAUGCAAAUUUGUGAUCCAAAUAGGAACAGAAGUCGCUGAAUGAUUUUCAGAUGUUUCUAGCGUAUGACAGCUUUAAAAUGCUAUUCAAAAAAUCAACAAAAAAGAAUAAAAAAUCUGAAAAUUUA